GGGUGUGUUUGUGGGAAGCGAUCGAAGAGGUACUAAGAUAAAAAUGGUGUGGCGACGAGGGGGGUGCAGCAAGAAGGGUGAGGCAUUGGGGCUGAUGGAGGCAUUGGUUUGGUGGAGGAGGUCGAGAAGUGGCGAUUUGGAAAGUAGUGCCAGAUCCAAGUAGUCCCCAAGGAGAGUGAUAACGAGAGGAUGUUGUACACCAACUUGGGGGAGAAGUGGGUUCGAUUAUAGUGGGACAAGCUAGCAGACUUUAGCGUCUCGACAUAGGUCAAUCUGGCAUCGGAGAAUC
rnacentral:lncRNA from 1 species